rnacentral:rRNA from 1 species
UGCUCGAAAGAGAGCCGUAACACAGGUGCUGCAUGGCUGUCGUCAGCUCGUGUCGUGAGAUGUUGGGUUAAGUCCCGCAACGAGCGCAACCCUUGUCAUUAGUUGCUACAUUCAGUUGGGCACUCUAAUGAGACUGCCGGUGACAAACCGGAGGAAGGUGGGGAUGACGUCAAGUCCUCAUGGCCCUUAUAGGUGGGGCUACACACGUCAUACAAUGGAUGGUACAAAGGGUCGCCAACCCGCGAGGGGGAGCCAAUCCCAUAAAGCCAUUCGUAGUCCGGAUCGCAGUCUGCAACUCGACUGCGUGAAGUCGGAAUCGCUAGUAAUCGUGGAUCAGAAUGUCACGGUGAAUACGUUCCCGGGUCUU